GCAAAAAGCUCCACUUUGAAAGCGUUUCGACGCGUUGUAGUGCGGYUCAGUCUUUGAGUGACGGAUGACUAAGUCCCCUGGAACGGGGUGCCAUAGAGGGUGAGAGCCCCGUGAGUUGUCUUUUUAGCUCUUUAAGUCUUUACCAAAGAGUCGAGUUGUUUGGGAAUGCAGCUCUAAGUGGGUGGUAAAUUCCAUCUAAGGCUAAAUACCGGCGAGAGACCGAUAGCGAACAAGUACAGUGAUGGAAAGAUGAAAAGCACUUUGAAAAGAGAGUGAAACAGUACGUGAAAUUGUUGAAAGGGAAGGGUAUUUGGCCCGACAUGGGUUCUGUGCACCGUUGCCUCUUGUAGGCGGCGCUCUGCUGGAGCCUGGGCCAGCAUCAGUUUUCCGGCGAGGAUAAGAAGUUUUGAACCACAUUGUGG
rnacentral:rRNA from 1 species